GAUGAACGCUGGCGGCGUGCCUCAAACAUGCAAGUCGAGCGGGGCUAUGUAAUAUCGCAAGGUAGAACAUAGCCUAGCGGCGAACGGGUGAGUAACACGUGGGUAACCUGCCUGGAAGACAGGGAUAACGAUUCGAAAGGGUCGCUAAUACCUGAUAAUAUCCUUUCAUCGCAUGGUGAUAGGAAGAAAGGGGAAACCCGCUUUCAGAUGGGCCCGCGUCUCAUCAGCUAGUUGGUAAGGUAAAGGCUUACCAAGGCGACGACGGGUAGCCGGUCUGAGAGGAUGUACGGCCACACUGGGACUGAGAUACGGCCCAGACUCCUACGGGAGGCAGCAGUUGGGAAUCUUAGGCAAUGGACGAAAGUCUGACCUAGCGACGCCGCGUGAGGGAAGAAGGGCCUUCGGGUUGUAAACCUCUGUCAUGGGGGAAGAAGUAAGUGACGGUACCCCAAGAGGAAGCCCCUGCUAACUACGUGCCAGCAGCCGCGGUAAAAGUACUCUAAU
rnacentral:rRNA from 1 species